rnacentral:sRNA from 1 species
GGUUCCGCGUAGACAAUCCUAUGGUCAACCGGUCUGUGUGACGUCUCCAAACUUCGUCAAUCGAUCAGUCAAUUUCCGAUAUUCCCCGGAAAAACUCAAUUUGGUCUGUCACCUGCCACGUGUCCCCCCGCAUUUUUUUUGGGAAACUCAAUGCCAACCACCUGAAAAAUCAAUAUACAAAUUAUGACUGCGGUUAAGGGUUGGGGUUGCGGAGAGUGUCCUAAACAAAAAAGGUCUGUUCCACUGCCAAUUAUGACUUUUAGGCAAAAUCAAUAGGCGGAGCAGCGCUGAUGACUUUAGAAAUUUGCGUGGUGUCAAAGUCAACUAGCUACUGGCUUUGCCAAGAUGCCAAUAUUGAAAGGGUACUAACCAAGCUUACCAAAUGAAAAACUGGUUAAUACUUGUACUUGCAGUGUAGUUAAGGAAGUAGCGAAAAGAAAUAAAACAAAUAUUCCUGCGUUAUAUAUAUGUAGCUAUAAUAAUAAAAUCUGUUAUGUGACAUUUGCGGGGGGGUCCAAGUUCUUCAAUCGAGUUCAAGCUCGGAAAGUUCCACUUUAGUUCGUAGAAGUUGCAUUCGCACUUUGCAUUUGAAAAGGGGAAAAGCGUGCAAGUUGGUUUGGCAGCCUGCAGCGAAAACUUUGGCCAGCUCGCUAAUUGCCAUUGGCAAGUGCGAUCCCCCGCCGACGGGAGUGGGCGGCGGUCCUCGAUUCGGUUGCAUAAUGGCGUUCAUGACCUGGGCCCUGGCAGAACCGAAAAAACAGAGACGGCGACAGAAAGUCCGAAUCCGAGUGCAGCAUAAUCACAGCCAUCACGAGUGCCCCGAUAUGAGAGCGAAUGAGCCAUAAAGCCGUUGUACUUGAGCACUGAUUAAAAUGUGUGCCCCCCGCCACCCACAUGACCGCCGGGGGGUCUUUUCUCGCCAUGAAUGGCAGACGGACCACAAUGGUCAUGCAUGGUGACGGGUUCGUGAUGAGUUCCAAGGCAGGGCAAAUGUUACUAAAAUCAUUCAAAGUUACAUGAAAACAAAAGUUUUAAAAGCGUGCAAUCAAGAAGAAAACCCUAAAAUCCUGAAUCCUACAAAUUAAAAUUGGAAAAACGGAAGUAGUAUUGAGAAAACCGCUAGUUGAAGAACUUAAUUCCCUGAUCAAGUAACGUUCGAGCAGCGCAUAAACUCGAUCCUAACCCAAGUCGAAGUCCGGCUCUAGUUAGUCUAUGAUGCCAUUCGAAGCAAUUUGCUCGUCGCUCCUCGUAGGCGUUUAUGACAAUAGAUUUACGAGCAUAGCUCGUCUAAUUUACGCCAUUCCCAUUGUAAAGAAGCGACCAUCCAUCCAGCUCAUACAGUAGUUAAAAAGAUGAGAAAAACCUUAGACGGCGACAACGAUGAAGGAAAGUCACUGGCAUCUCGCGGCGGGCAGCAUUGAAUGAAAUGCCCCGGAAAAAACCAAUUGUUAUUCCACGUUUAAUUUAGUAGAGCAAUGGAGGCCUCCUCCCACCACCUACCGCCCACCUUGUAAAUCCGAUUUCAUGGUUUGCGGGAACGGACAGCCAGCAGCUGACUGGGCUGCAUCGUUGUGGGCGGGCAGAUCUUGGAUACAUCCUAAUCCAUCUCAUCGCAUUUUAUCCCAUCUCAUAGACACAGAUACAGCUACAGCUACAGCAGAUACAGAGACACCGCUUGGCUUUGAGUUUCAGUUGGGUAAUGCGAAACGCCGGAGACCGCCCGUCCGAAAAUGGAGCAAUAAAUUCUAAUCAAAAUUAAAAUAUACAUAAUAAUAAAGUAAGCAAAGCAGCCAGGCCAUCAGUACAGCACAAGCAUUUUCUAUGGCCCAUUCGGCGCGUGUGUGCACUUGUCAUUGCCUGGAAACUAAGCCACACAAAAGGGGCUGUUGUGGGUUAGGGGGGCGUCCAAUAUGUUGGCCAAAUGAGUUCGCGCAGCGGGGAUUGCUGAGUGAUUUUUCCAGUUCUCCUGGCGAAUACAUAUACAUACGUUUAGAUAUACAUAUAGAUAUCCACUUUAUUUGGGGGUGCUCUCCAAGGCCCUAAAACCGCGAACAAGUUGCCACUUCAUCUCCAUAAAAGCCAGCUGAUAGUGGAGAUCUUGUGAAAGAUAUAUUUUAGUCGGCUUUGAGGCUGGGAAAGGGUGUGCAAUGAUAGUUACACAUUUUCGGAAGAACGACAUUCUACAGUUCUGUUCUUCCAUGCAAUGAUCCAGUACUUAUUUACUCAUGACUUUAAAAACUAGUGGUUGUUGCGGCAAAAAUCUAUUAUUGAUUGAUUGCAACACCCAUUUGGGGAUGUUAAUCACACGCCUGCUGAAGCAUAUGCUCCCUAUAUCGCUGACGCUCACAAAUCAAUAGAAACCCCUUCUGUUCCAGAGUUUCGGAGUGGGCUAGGUGGGUGCAUCGGGCUGACACGCGCCACCGCUCACUGAACCGCUUGGCACUAAAUCAGCCUCAAUUGAGAGGGUGCUGGCUAACCUACUUGAGCGGCAGCAGUCAAAGCCAGCGAUUUGUGGCACGUUGGCGCGUCUAAUUGGAAGACAGUGGGAAUAGGUGCAAGGGAUCUGAGCAGCGAAUUCCUGGCGGUAAUGCCACCCAGAUCCGCACACCAAGGCUGCCCGGUAACCGUACCCAAAUAUAACGAUUGCGAAUCAGUGGCGCCUUAUCAGGUAUCCACUAUCUGUCGGAACCAUCGGCCAUCCUCUGACGCACUUCACCUGCUCACGACGCAAACCAGUUCAGCUCAAGUGUGGCGGAACCCAAAACCAAUUACAGCUGUCGACGGUUAUUUGUUUGCCCGACAUAUAUACCAAAAUUAUUUCUCAUUAUCGGGCGGUGCGAUAAUUUGAUUUGACUCCGUAGAGCUGGAUAUUUUCGGCUACUGCCAAAUUGGCAUUUGUCCGCUACUUAUUUCGAUUUGUUUGCAUUUGCAUUUGGCCAAAAAGGCACUCUUCUUUACUUUUUUGGGCGAUCGUGACUGCGAAAGUAGCUUUGGAGCAACGUCAGCAGCGCGUAUUAAAUUGUAUUUAAAUUAAAACAAAUUACGGACAGGCCGAGUGUGUGUGCAAGUGGCGGCAAUUGCUGAUAUUGUCGUCACAUAUGAGGCAUUAAAUUAAAUAAAAAUUUAUUAUGACGAUUUAAGGAGCGUCGGGCAACAAGCAAAGUGCGAAUCAAAAGAUACAGGCACAGAUUCAAACACAAUUGAGCUACAUAUACAUACGUACAACUGUGUGUAUCUUCUGCGAGAAUUCGAACAAUCUUUCAAUUGUCUGCAUCAUUUGGAAAACAUUUUCCAUUCCAUUUUCGUUUCGAAACGCCAAGAUUUUAGCAUUUAUGGCAGGCAGGUAUAUGUAUCUAUUUUUUUAUGGAUCUCCAGUGCCAAAAGAAAUCCCACGGACAAGUGGCGGCCAAAUCCGAUUUUAGCGAGUUCUUGCGGGAUAUAUAUUUAUUUACUCGAUCUAGAAUAGUUGGAUCGCCCGCUGUUUUUUGUGUUUAUUCAUUUGUUAUGCCUUCCCAUUUUACCGGCCAAUUGAAUCCGAGUAAUAUUCGAAAGUUAUGUCAUUUCCUUAGCUGUGCAUUACAGAUUGCCCGGUGGAGCCGGCUUAAUCUCGACCCAGCUCGUUUACUUCCUCCCACAAUGCGUUCGCGGUAAUUGCGGUAAUUGUUGUCGCUCAGACAAUAUUAAGUGCGUGACACAAGACGAGUUCAGAGUUCUGGAGAUCCACGAAUCUCGUCUUACCGCCCGAAACUCGUUUGAACCGGUGGCGAACAGGAACAAUUGAGCCAUUGUUGAGCCCCGGCUCAGCUACUUCAGGUAGCUGGACAAUAAACCACCCCUUCGGAACUAAGCCACCCCUGAAGCGAAUUGAUCGAUGGACCUUGAGAGACCUACAAGCUGGAGACCAACUCGAAAACAAACGAAAACGAAAAUAAAUCAACGUACCGCUCUAGAACUUAAUCUACAAGUGUUGGUCGAGCGAGUGUUAUCUGAUAAGCAGACGAAAGGGAUGUGGAAAAUUUACACAAUUCCAACGUAUCGAUAUUUCAGAAGUCGUGACUGCCAAGUGGAGAGUUAUCGGCCUAUUGUAUCGAAUAAACCGGUAGAGAUAUCGGGAUGGCAAUCGGUUAAGGAAAUGUAAUUAUGAAAAAUGUAUUUUGAGUGAAAUUACUAUUAUAAUUUGGCAAUA